CUCCAUCACCUGUUUUCAGGGAGAACAGCAUUUACUAUACAGAGCUGUAGUUCUGUCAUUUUAUCUUCAUGGGACCGAGAUGGCUUAUGGUGUCCGUGAGGAGCAGAGAUUGAGAGGUAGCCUACAGAAGAGUUUAAAAGUUUCUCAUUGCUGGUUUGAUUUCAAGACUCAACUUGCUCAUUAACAAUGCAGCAGAGAAUUACAAGAAGAAGUCGAUAACACCGCCACAAUCAGCUUUAACACAGAGGAUUGGGCUCAGGUGAAUAGCAUGGGACUUCUCUCUAGGCUGACAAACAGACAGGACCAUACAGCACACCUGUGGGACUCGGGAAGACCACUUCAUCCCAUUGUGAACAUGACCAAUGAAAAGAAAUAUCCUAUCAAGCAGGCUUUUGUCUGUGCGAUGCUAUAGGAGAGUGGUAUUUGUCUGGCUCUCUCAUCGCAGUGAAGCUAGCUCAAUUACAUUAUCUUGUGCUAAAGGUCUGGAAUCUCUGAAAGCACAGAAUGCCAUACCCAAUCCCCAAUCUGUUCCUGUGCAUGGACAAGAGUAGGACAUUGAAGUACUUGCCAACAUAGGAAAGUUACAAGUUCUUGAAAUCAGAUUAAACAUCCAAUUAAAAAGUUGAUUUACAAAUGUAAAAGUUGAUUUGAUUUUAUAAAUAAUAAUGAAAUAAAAUAAUACAAACAAUGCAAUUAUUUUAAUUAAAUUGAUAAAGCAUUCAAUUGAGCAUUUAAUUCCAUUUUUUUUCUUUUAUUAUUAUUAUUAUUUUAAAAUCUAGCCAGUAAAUCUGAAGCGCUACUAUACUACAAAACCAUUAUAAAUUAAUUUUAAAACAACAUGUUAUGAAUAUAGGAAUUCUUUCUUCUUUCAUUUAGUUAUUUUUCCCCUAAAAAUCUGCAAUAGGGUCCCAGCUGGUCUAGGAAACAAUACAAAAUAACCACAAUUAAUUUGUGCCUCAGUGUGUUGGACAGAGCUUGAUUCAUUGAGCCUCUCCCUUUUGUCGAGACACCCUUAAAACUCCGCAACCUUCUGUCUAUCUAUUCUUUAACAGAUAUAUAGUUAUCUAGAUAUAGAGUGUGUAUAGGUGAGAUUUAUGUUCAGCCUAAUGCAUACAUUUGCUGGUCAGCCUAAUCGGCAUUUCGUGUGGCCGGUCGGGAAAUGGGAGAAACGGUAAACCUGUGAUGCUCUGAUAGGGGAUUCCUGCAGGCCUGAUUAGAUCUAGGGCAUGUUUGUCUUCCAGUAACAGGAAUUACAUGAUUUGUAAGUGGGCCUGGCUUCCAGCAGCUUUUGAGUAUUAAUUCCCACCCACAGCCUGAGGAGAAAGCAUUAAAGAGCCGGGAACUUAUAAAUAGCAGUCAGUAAGACACCAUAUACUUUGAGGGUUUGAUGCCUGAUGCAUAGAUCUCUAGAAGGUGAAUGG